rnacentral:rRNA from 1 species
AUACGGAGGAUCCGAGCGUUAUCCGGAUUUAUUGGGUUUAAAGGGAGCGUAGGCGGACUAUUAAGUCAGCUGUGAAAGUUUGCGGCUCAACCGUAAAAUUGCAGUUGAUACUGGUUUCCUUGAGUACGGUACAGGUGGGCGGAAUUCGUGGUGUAGCGGUGAAAUGCUUAGAUAUCACGAAGAACUCCGAUCGCGAAGGCAGCUCACCGGGCCGGAACUGACACUGAUGCUCGAAAGUGCGGGUAUCAAACAGGAUUAGAUACCCUGGUAGUCCGCACAGUAAACGAUGAAUACUCGCUGUUUGCGAUACACGGUAAGCGGCCAAGCGAAAGCGUUAAGUAUUCCACCUGGGGAGUACGCCGGCAACGGUGAAACUCAAAUGAAUUGACGGGG